GAACUUUUUCUCUCUAAGAAAAUAAUUCACUUUUAAAAGGUUCUAUUUUGCUUGUACAAACGAAAAUAAUUUGUUUAUUCACUGUUUAGAACUUAUUUCAUUUUCAGUAUCUCGAUGCCGAAUUGGGAUAGAAACACCAAUAUAAGUCUAGCAUAGGAAUAUUUUUUAUUCAAAAAUCUAUUAAAAAGUGAUUUUGAGACAAACAAAUAUAUAGAAGCUUUUCGUUCUCAGAUGACAUAUUGUUGUUACCUUUUAUUGGCCGAGAUAAGUUAAAACUGCGCGUUUUUUUAUACAAGUGGCGUUUCCGUCAUUUUCGUAAUUUAUGGUGUUACGACGAGUCAAAUAAAAAAACCCAAAUUAUAGAGCUAUCAUUUUUCGGAAAAAAUUAUUUUAUCAAUAUCGAUAAUUGUCUCGUUUUAUAAAAUGUUUAGAUACACGACGU